GAGCCCGUGGCUCAAUGGUAGAGCGUUCGACUCAAAUACCAAAGGUCGCGGGUUCGAAUCCCAGGUUUU
rnacentral:tRNA from 1 species